CCUAAUUAAUUCCGUAAAUAAUUCCAUUAAUCCCAUCAAUAAUCCCAUAAUUAAUUCCAUAAUUAAUUCCAUAAAUCCCAUAUUUUGGGAUUCAGGAUUUGGAGCCAAGAAAGGUCCAGCAGAACAGGUGUGCAGGGUCCAGGUGACACCCAUGGGUGCACAGGUGACACCCACAGGUGUGCAGGUGACACCCACAGGUGUGCAGUGUCCUCCAGGUGACACCCACAGGUGUGCAGGUGACACCCACAGGUGUGCAGGGUCCUGCAAGUGGCACCCACAGGUGUGUGCAGGUGACACCCACAGGUGCACAGGUGACACCCACAGGUGUGUGCAGGUGACACCCACAGCUGUGCAGGUGACACCACAGGUGUGCAGGUGACACCCACGGGUGUACAGAUGACACCCACAGGUGUCCAGGUGACACCCAUGGGUGUCCAGGUGACACCCUUGGGUGUACAGGUGACACCCACAGGUGUGCAGGUGACACCCACGGGUGUGCAGGUGACACCCACAGGUGUACAGGUGACACCCAUGGGUGUGCAGGUGACACCCACUGGUGUACAGGUGACACCCACUGGUGUGCAGGUGACACCCACAGGUGUGUACAGGUGACACCCACAGGUGUACAAAAUCCAAACCUGCAGGGGCAAAAAACCCCAAAAUUCCGGUUGGGAAGGGUGGGAAUUGUUGGGAAUUCAACAGAAAACUGGGAAAAUCCCGGAAUUCGUUUGGGAAUGGUUGGGAAUUGUUGGGAAUUAAACGAAAAACUGGGAAAACCCAAACCUAAAGGGACCAAAAACCCCCAAAAUUCCGGUUUGGAAGGGCAGGAAUUGAUGGGAAUUCAACACAAACCUGGGAAAAUCCCGGAAUUCUGGCUGGGAAUUGGCGGGAAUUGAUGGGAAUUCAACAGAAAACUGGGAAAAUCCCGGAAUUCCAUUUGGGAAUGGUUGGGAAUGGUUGGGAAUUACCUUGGGAAUUACAGAACUCAUUAAAUUGAAACCUAAAGGGACCAAAAACCCCAAAAUUCUGGUUUGGAAGGGCGGGAAUUGAUGGGAAUUCAACACAAACCUG